CAUUUUGUGGGUGGGUUACGCUUCCCCUGCUCUGGUCUUCCCCCUCCCGUCCUACUGCUGCCCUUUAGUUUCGCCGCUGUCCGCAUCCCGCUUAGCGAACGGAUGCUGCGUGAAGGCCAAGUGUUCUUAAUCCCGAGCAUGGAGUGUCCGGGGGGGGGGCGGGGGGAGGAUGUGGUAGAGAUGAAGGGCUCGAGUAGAUUCUUGGGAGCUUCAGGCAACAGCCUGGGACUAAAGGUAACCUUGAGGAAAUGCCAACCGCUAUAUUCCCUGAUACAAAAGUAGGAGAUGUUUCUAUCGCCCAAGUGUGUGUGUGACCAUUUGCCUUAACUUCCCACGGAAAAUUAUCCGCCGUUGCAGUAAACACGUACCAGUUGCACCGGUGGGGAUUCAGCUAUGAGCGGAAAAGCGGCACGAGGAAGCCCCUUACUAAUGCAGGUUUUUGUUAAGAUUGGAGGGAAGUUGCCGAUUUCUGCGAAACUCUGAAAGCUAUUAAAAACCCGCCCCCUUUAGUGUUGGAGGAAUCGAUGCAGGGAUAUCUAUGCAUUAGGACCGCGAUUCCGUACACUCUUGCUAAAUUUUAAGUUACCCUGAACUUGAUGGGACUUAAUGCCAAAUAAAUGUAGGUGGGAUAGAAUAUGUUAGAUUCUGGGUGAAGAGGCUGUAUUUCAUUGAUUGCAGCCCCUUCUGUAUUUACAAUAUCAAUUGUUGGCAAAACUGGAUUGGCUAAAACUGUGUGGAGAAGGGACUAUUCCUUAGGUGGUGUGAGCCAAAAUUUGCUCAGCUAUGAAUGUUUGUAUGUAACUUUAAUGUGUUGACAGCAUUUCACGUGGUAGUGUUUUAUCCUUAACAAGUCUGUAAGAUUUUUUAGCUUCUACAUGGGUGGUUAGGGUUUAAGUGGUUGCAGAAACGUAAUUUAAAUACUUGUAUGAUUCUUUAACUGUAAUUAUGAAAUAUAAAUAUUGCAAAGAAGAAAACAUAAUUGUAAAUAUAGUCUAACAAACUAGGCUACAACAGCAUCCAUUGUUGGGUAGCGUAUACCAUGAAUCAUCACUUUUCUAAGUAAAAGUUAAGUAAAAUACGGUAAAGUGGUAUGUGCAAGGCCCGUUAAUUUAAUAGGUGAAUUAAAGCACUUGUGCAGUACUACUGCUGCUCUAUUAUUUCUUUUUGUGUCUUGAUUGUUUGCUUAAUUCUGUAAUCUGAUUUUAAAUCUUGCCUGUAUGUUCUAGGAAUGAAAAUUUUAUCAGUGCUGAUACAAAAAACUGAUUAUGAAAACAGCAGCAUACCUAGAAAAGUUUUUAAUGGAAGAGAAUGGAUUUUCCUGAGUACAUUAUGGUCUGAUGGAACUUUUUUCUGAUAAAGGUUAGCAGGAAGCUGGGCAGAAACUGGGAUGGAUUGGGCUCCUGAUGAUCCAUUUCCUAACCUGCAUAAAGCAAGUGGAAUACCUUGGAUUGUGAAAUGAAUGUUUUUGGGCUGAAGACUAAAGCCAGUCUAUGAUGUCUACUGUAAAAACAAAGUGCUAAGAAGUCGAAUGGGAACAUUACAUGAAGCCUUCGUGUGUAGCCACAUCCUGCAUGAAGUCAAAACAACUUCAAGCUUUUGGGGAAAUCAGCUUGCAAUUUAUCAAAGCAAUAAACAUUUAAAACCUUGUUAAAAUUUUGUAUGCAUGAGGAGGGACCACAAAAAACCAGGAACUAUUUUUUUCAAAGGUAGGCACCUUGUAGUACAGGCUUCCUAUCCUACCUACUAGGUGGGUGUUGUAGGAACCCAUCUGCAUCAGAGUACCAGCUGGGUUGUUAGAGGCUGUGUUUUGCUUUGAUGAAUGUUUUUUGGAGACUUUCUAUCCAUUAUUUGCCUAUUUUGUGAGGAUUGAUUUACAUGAACAAUAUGUGGUGGUGAAAUUGUUUCCUGUUGGGGAAAAAUGCAGGGGAGAUGGUUAUGCUACAGAAAGCUUACAAGGAAGCUGCUCUGAGUAAAACAUAAGCUUAUGAAUGAUUUUUCCUGUUUUAAAUGCAACAAAAUGUCAAUUGAUCAAACUCAUUCCAGUUGUCCUUCAACCAGUCAAACUGAUGAAAAUGUAAAUUCAUCAAGCCAUCUUGUAAGAUCACUGUCAGACCAUUGAACUUGUGGAGUUCCUGUCUGAAUUUUAUUGGAUGACUUGGGCAUGGAACAAGUUGCAGCAAAAUUUGUGCCUCACUUGCUCAUGCCUGAACAAAGACAAUUGCUUGGCUGCAUGCCAUGCUUUGAAGGAGCAGUUGGAGGCAACAGCAGGGGCUUGGACCUGAUGGUCUUCAUGGCCCCUUCCAGUUGUACCAUUCUGUGAUUUUAUGGCCCUGUUUUUUUUUUCUGAAAGUCAUAACCAGAGAUAUGACUUAGUGCUAUGCCUACAACCCUGAAAUGAAUAGCAGUUCAGCUAAUGGAAGACUGCCACAUCCCCAUGACCCAAAAAAACAUGGCAAGUGAAGUUGAAUGUGAAAACAUGUUUCUUUUCAGGUGAGAGGGAUUGUGCACUCAGAAUUUGUUCCUCUAGGUCAAACAGUCAAAGUUUUUAUCUGGAAGUUUUGAGAAUGUUGCAUCACUAAAGAAGUGUCCUGGGUUGUGGCAGAGGUGACUUGUUCCUCCACCAGAACAACACCUGCCUACACCAUGCUGAGUAUUCAGUUUGACUAAAAAGGCAUGACCCUUGUGCCUCACUCUUCCUAUUCACCCAAUCUUACUCCAUGUGACUUUGUUUCUCCAGAAGAAAAAGGUCCUCAAAGGGAAAGAUUGUCAAUGUGGAAGAGGUGGGAACAAAGAGGCACUAAAAGGCAUCAAAAUGGAUGAGUUCAAAAGCUGUUUUUGUGCAGUGGAAAAAAAUGAUGUAUUGCAUCAAAUGUACUUUGAAGGUGACUGAAGUUUGAACAUGUAAAAAUACUUAAAUCCUGAGGUUUUUGGGUUCCUGCCUCAUUGAUAUUUGUCUUGUAUAACCUUCCUCAAGCAGUAUAUAAGUAGUCCCUGGGGUUAUGAACAUAUGGGUUAUGAAAAACCUGCACUUGCAAACAUGGGCUACCCUAAGCAUCAGUUGCUGCAUAGUUCCCUAGAGAUACAAUAUUCACGGCAUUUUGUUCUGCACUGUUGGCUCAAGCGUACCCAAGCCAGUGUGUUUCAAGGAAUGUGUAGGGUGCCUAGUUCACUUUUUUUGCAAUUUUCCUUCUAACCAUUCCCUUGAAGUAGGGAUGGCAAAGUUCAGAGGAGCAAGAUCCUAGCAUGAAAGGUUUCUUAAAAGUUUACUGUGCAGUUGCUGCUACAAGACCAUUUAUGAGGAAAAAAUGGCUGCACAAACCAUUAAUGCCUGCUUUAAAAAGUGACUCAAGUGGUAACCUGUCACCAGCACCCCCAGCAGCCUGGCUCCAGCACCAAGUCCACUUCCAACAGUUUAGAUUGUUACCUAAACUGUUCUAAAUAUUCUAAACUGUUUUGUGUAAUACUGUACACACAGACCUCUCUGCUCAGUACUCAUACUUUAUUACUGUUAUUACAAUGCUGUAUUAAAGAUACUUUGGUCAAUA